UUUCCUCCGGGUGCUCCGGUUUCCCCCACAAGUCCAAAGACAUGCGGUAUAGGGGAAUUGGACAACCGAUGUCCAUGUCAAAAGAGCGUCUAUUCUUUAAGCUCUCUUUACUUACCUUGGUGAGGAUGAGGCAUGCCUGGUGAAAGAAUACAUGGGCAACCAAAAAGAAGAAUUUUUGAAGGACCUGGCAACAACACCACCAUGGCCAUAUGUGUCAUCAAAAAGGAAAGAGGAGAUUAUGAGGACAUUGGCAUCGUUGUGGAUGGAACAGUGAUGGAACAGAUAAAAUCUGUUGCACAAGCCUGUGCACUGAUGUUGGGGGCAAUUUAUGUGCUUGAUUUGGCCUACCCAAAAGAACUCAAAUACUAUUACGAGUUUGCCCAAAAAGUACUUGUGCAAAUGAACACUGGAUGAAAGAUCAUCAUCUUCAGCUGAACCUCGCAAAAACGGAAAUGCUUGUAGUUUCU